GCCACAGGGAAUUCACAUCUUAAGCAGAGGAGGACUCUGCUCUCUUCAGCUCCUGUGGUGACCUGGGAAUCUAUCUGUGAGGUGGAGGGCCUGUUAGCAAGACUCCAUAUCACUUUGCUGAGAGGUUUUUUUCCUUUUUUCCUUUUCACCCAGUAAAUUCCUCUCUAAUCACCCUUCAACAUGUCUGUGCACCCAAUCCUUCCUGGUCAUGUGACAAGAACUUGUUUUUUUCUACAUUUUUGGUGGCCUGUAUGGGGACAUGGGAAAAGUGUAGGGCAUGAGUUCCUGGCUGCCCCAUAAGGAAGGAAACUGCCAGAAGCCCUUUAGAAUGAAGAAAAGUGAGAAGAUUCUUGGAAAGUGGACUGAGCUUUUAACUCUGCAAGGGACCCUCAGCCCUCUUGGCAUACUGAAGUGAACACUCUGCAGCUAAGCACCACUGAAUCCAGCAGAUGGGAAAACACUUACCAGAAGUCUGUGCCAAGGAAGAGAUGCGAAUGAUAUGCAAACAGGAUGCUACUCACCUGAAAUGGAUGAGGACUUGAGACUUCAUCAUCUGCCAAAAAUGAGCUUUCCUAACAACAUGGGACCUAUUUGUCUAAAAAUAAACUGUCCUAGCCACAAGAGAUGAGACAAAACCCAAGACCACAGACUCAUUUUCUUCUAAAAUGCUCUGUCUGAAAGAUUUUAAGAAGAAAACGGGAGAGAAAUAUAAAAAGAAAAUAAAAACUUGGGACCCCAAUUCACUAUGCCAAAAGGGAAAAAAUUAAGCUGAAAGCUGAGUAAUGCAAGAAGCUGCCUUUCUUUUUGUUCCUAAGCAAAUAGCUACAGAUAAAAGGUUUAGUAUCUCCACAGGUAGCUACUCUAGGUUCACUUUAUCUUAUGUAAAGUGCUGAUUUGCAGAGCAUGAGAUGAAUACAUAGUUGACCCUUCCCCUAACCGCUCCUUUUCUCUUGCAAUAUGUGGAUUCAGUAAUGUGACCAUACCCUACCUCUUUCCCCUCCAGCCUGCUUUUCCCCAUUAAAUAUUGAAGCCCUCAAAAUAAUACUUGGAGAAAGGCAUAGACAUAUCACCCAGGUGGGUCCUUAACCUUUGCAAAAUAAACUUCUAAAUUGAUUGAGACCUGUCUCAGAUACUUUUUGGUUUACAAUAUAAUAUGAAAAGUAUUCUUUAAUCUGCAUGCAUGGAAAACUAUUCAUACUGGAAAAUAAAAUGUUACCUAACAUAUUUUAAUUAAAAAAAAAUUGCAACCACCUCAAAAUUGAAGAAGUAAAAACUCACAAACAAC
rnacentral:lncRNA from 10 species